rnacentral:rRNA from 1 species
ACAGCAGUCGCCCGGUAAUACGAAGGGUGCAAGCGUUACUCGGAAUUACUGGGCGUAAAGCGUGCGUAGGUGGUGGUUUAAGUCCGUUGUGAAAGCCCUGGGCUCAACCUGGGAAUUGCAGUGGAUACUGGGUCACUAGAGUGUGGUAGAGGAUAGUGGAAUUUCCGGUGUAGCAGUGAAAUGCGUAGAGAUCGGAAGGAACAUCUGUGGCGAAGGCGACUAUCUGGGCCAACACUGACACUGAGGCACGAAAGCGUGGGGAGCAAACAGGAUUAGAUACCCCCGUAGUCCCUGUCUCUUAUACA